AAAAAAAACAAAAAACCAUGACUUUGUAAAUGACUUUCUGGUGAUUGUAAUCAGUAUUCUCUUGCUUUGCAGUUGUUUCAAUAACUAAUACACAGCUGUAUUGAUUGCGAAGUUUAAGCAGGCAUAAUUGCCUUCUAGGUUAAUGAAUUGUACCCACAGUGAGUUUGUGAGUGUGUGGUAGGUGUUUGGAAUGAGUCUGAGUCAGCGGGCAGCUCACAGUCAAGCUGGUAAUUUAUUGCACAAAACCAGAGUGCAGUUGGUGACACAACUUGCUGGCCAGUACAGUACAAGUCAUGUAUGCUGAUGGUUCUGAAGAAGAGACAAGACAGCAAAGGAUAAUGCUUUUUAACAGAACAGAAAAAAGAAAUGCACAGCAGCAGGGGAGACAGUAGCUGCUUGCAUCCUGGGUUUCCUAAAACGAACUUGACCUUUCAACAAUACCAAGAUGAAUGAUUCUGUGACUUUCCAGCAGCAGAAGAAAGAGGAACUUCAGAAAUAUUGAAGGAGCUUUCAUCAAAGCUGUCUGUGAUUCUCUAAGGUGGCAUCUAUCUCUGGCUGCACAGGAACAGAAUUACGUUUUUGUAUGCUGGUGGUGGUGGAAAGACCCACAUACUGUUCCAAAUACGAAUGCUUUGUCAUUUAUGAGGCAAUAUUUUUUGAUGCAUUUUAUUAUUUCUGGUAUUAUUCAAGCAUCUAGUCUUCCAGCGUAUAAAUUUCUGCAGGGACGUUUUUCUUUAUCACAGUAAUUAGUCAAGGAAUAGUAAAGCCUCAAGGGGAGAAAGACCUUGGAACAGUGCAUUGGGACCACUGCCAAGUGAAGAAUUUGGAAGAAAGGAGGGAAAGACAGGCAGUCACUUUAUAGCACAUGGUACAGGCCCUGGAGAGAGAAGGCGAAAGCGAUACCAUUUACUUACAAAGUGUAUCUAGGAGAUCAAAACUAUG
rnacentral:lncRNA from 1 species